CACGUAGGGGGCGAGCGUUGUCCGGAAUCAUUGGGCGUAAAGCGCGCGUAGGCGGCCAGAUAAGUCCGGUGUGAAAGUCACAGGCUCAACCUGUGAAUGCCGCUGGAAACUGUCUGGCUCGAGUCCGGGAGGGGCGAGUGGAAUUCCUGGUGUAGCGGUGAAAUGCGCAGAUAUCAGGAGGAACCCCAAUGGCGAAGGCAGCUCGCUGGAACGGUACUGACGCUGAGGUGCGAAAGCGUGGGGAGCAAACAGG
rnacentral:rRNA from 1 species